GUUUCCUGUUAAAACGAAGGGAUGAUGGUUACGUAGGGGGGCCGUUUGCCUCCCUCUGCAUCGAAAUCUGGUGGUCAAAACCUUAAAACGCUUCAGCAUAACUUGUGAAUGAGAAAGUCCUUUCUGGCUGUGUGCUCUGGGCCUGCUGCGUGUGGUUCCUGGGCCCGCGUUCGUCCUGCUUCCCCCAGUGCUGGGGUGUAGGGUCAAAGGGUUGGUGCAGAGUUUUUGGUGUGGGCUUGGUAUUUGUUUUGAAGGUGCUAUUUUUAGUCCAUUUCAUCACAGGGUGCUACAGGAUAGGCUUCCAAAUUCACGUGGGGUUUAUGGUUUCAAUUUUGUUUUUCCCGACCUGGAACAUCAAAAUGGUGAUGUGUGGCAGACUGAAAGCAUUGCUUGCAAGCUGCUUUCUUUCAAAGUGUGGUUUCCAAUAAAAAUAUUUACUGAGAUUGAGGCUGGGAUCCAGAAAUAGGAGAAAUAAUUUUAUAAUGAAGUUGUUUUUAAUUUAGGUUUUAAUCUUACCAGCCAGUAAAGCCAAGGAAUGGCACUCUGUUGCUGGUGAUCUGGGAUCCCCUGUAAGGUCACAGAUCAGACCUUGAAACUCUGCUUCCUUGUAGUAGGCAGUUGGCACCACGUCAGAGCAGGCUAAAGAGAGACCAGGACCUCAGAACAUUGUAAUCACGCACGGCUGAUUGAGGCUGACUCGUGGCAUUACCUGUCAGGGCGAGAACUUGUCAUCUGCAGCAGAUGACGUCCCAGACGCACUGGGAAAGAGUCUCAGAUUGUGUUGGAGCAUGUGAAUGCAACCUGAAGCAUGCUACACGUUCACAAUACAGCCGCCCCUCCUUCUCAUGUAACUCACAGACUGCUUUUUGGCUCGGACACGGAAGCACCCGGAAUUGGUAUGUUGGGUCCCUACUUCUGGAACGUGCUGUUAGCGCUCUCCCCGCUGAAGGAAUCUUCAGGUACACAGCCAGUCCCAGGAAGAUGACGUUAUGCUGGAUCUCAUCCUCAAGUCUUUGCCAUCUGCCCUGAGAGUGGCCUGCAUUCAACUGGCAGACCUCUGAUUUAUUGGCACGGUGUGUUUUACAGAAGAGUGGCAGCUGUUUUAUUAUACCAGUGAAGUGCUUUUGCUAUGGAAUAAUGGGAAACUAUGUCUUAAUUUUAACGGCUUCCUUUCGUGAGAAUGAAUUUUUUUUUCCCCUCAAAUAAGCAUAAUGGCAAUGAAACAAAUGAAGCUUGUAUGUAAAUGCCUGCUGCGUGUCUGCUUCACGCUCUUGGAAGCCUUGAGUGGUGACUGCUAAACGUGUGUCCCGUAAUUGCUGCAGCGUUGACACUUCCGGCUCCGAUGUGUUACAUCGCUGGAGCAGGGAAACUUUUAUUACUCUGGAAUGUGGAGUUGGGAAUGUAUAAAACAGGUAAAACUUGCGGAGAUGAUGUAAUUGGUACGUAUCCCUUCUGUCAGUGCUAUAAACACGCAUGGAAUGAAGUGAUAUAAAAGGCCUAAAUGUAGAGCAAACACAGGAGAUGGAGAUGUUUAUAUGAAAUGUCUCUUCUGUGAAAUCCUUGACAAAGCGUGUGCCGGCUGUGUUUUGUGUCCAUUUGAUUAAACGCAGUACAAGCCAU